rnacentral:tRNA from 1 species
GGGGAAUUAGCUCAAAUGGUAGAGCGCUUGCUUAGCGUUUGAGAGGUAGUGGGGUCGAUACCCACAUUCUUCA